rnacentral:lncRNA from 1 species
GCCUCCUGAGUAGCUGGGACUACAGGUGCCUGCCACCACGCCCGGAUAAUUUUGGUUUUUUUGGUAUUUUUAGUAGAGGCAGGGUUUCACCAUGUUAGCCGGGAUGGUCUCGAUCUCCUGACCUCGUGAUCCACCCACCUCGGCCUCCCAAAGUGCUGGGAUUACAGGUUUGAGCCACCGCGCCCGGCCACCAGAGCCAUCCUUCUAAGGG